AAUCUUCCACAAUGGACGGAAGUCUGAUGGAGCAAUGCCGCGUGAACGAAGAAGGUUUUCGGAUCGUAAAGUUCUGUUGUGAGGGAAGAACAAGUACGAGAGUAACUGAUCGUACCUUGACGGUACCUCAUUAGAAAGCCACGGCUAACCACGUGCCAGCAGCCGCGGUAAUACGUAGGUGGCAAGCUUUGUCCGGAUUUAUUGGGCGUAAAGCGCGCGCAGGCGGCCUUUUAAGUCUGAUGUGAAAGCCCACGGCUCAACCGUGGGGAGUCAUUGGAAACUGGGAAGCUUGAAUGCAGAAGAGGAGAGUGGAAUUACAUGUGUAGCGGUGAAAUGCGUAGAGAUAUGGAGGAACACCAGUGGCGAAGGCGACUCUCUGGUCUGCAACUGACGCUGAGGCGCGAAAGCGUGGGGAGCGAACA
rnacentral:rRNA from 1 species